UUCUUUUUUAAACAAAGGAGGGGGGAGGGGUUCUACCAUAUUUUCUUCCCGCAUCGGAGGAGUAAGCUGGUUCUGUCCCGAGAACAUCUCUACAAGCAGCGGUGCACAUACCAUGAAUAUGGGGGACAUGCCGGACAGAUCAAGUAAUUGGUGUGGAGAAGAUU